GACGAACGCUGGCGGCGUGCUUAACACAUGCAAGUCGAACGGAAAGUCCCUGCUUUUGUGGGGUGCUCGAGUGGCGAACGGGUGAGUAACACGUGAGUAACCUGCCCUUGACUUUGGGAUAACUUCAGGAAACUGGGGCUAAUACCUGAUAGGAGCUCCUGCUGCAUGGUGGGGGUUGGAAAGUUUCGGCGGUUGGGGAUGGACUCGCGGCUUAUCAGCUUGUUGGUGGGGUAGUGGCUUACCAAGGCUUUGACGGGUAGCCGGCCUGAGAGGGUGACCGGCCACAUUGGGACUGAGAUACGGCCCAGACUCCUACGGGAGGCAGCAGUGGGGAAUAUUGCACAAUGGGCGGAAGCCUGAUGCAGCAACGCCGCGUGCGGGAUGACGGCCUUCGGGUUGUAAACCGCUUUCGCCUGUGACGAAGCGUGAGUGACGGUAAUGGGUAAAGAAGCACCGGCUAACUACGUG
rnacentral:rRNA from 1 species